rnacentral:rRNA from 1 species
AUUGAACGCUAGCGGGAGGCCUAACACAUGCAAGUCGAACGAGUGGCGGACGGGUGAGUAAUGUCUGGGAACCUGCCUGAUGGCGGGGGAUAACUACUGGAAACGGUGGCUAAUACCGCAUACCAUCGGAUGUGCCCAGAUGGGAUUAGCUGGUUGGUGGGGUAAAGGCUCACCAAGGCGACGAUCCCUAGCUGGUCUGAGAGGAUGACCAGCCACACUGGAACUGAGACACGGUCCAGACUCCUACGGGAGGCAGCAGUGGGGAAUGUUGGACAAUGGGCGCAAGCCUGAUGCAGCCAUGCCGCGUGUAUGAAGAAGGCCUUCGGGUUGUAAAGUACUUUCGGCGGGGAGGCGUUAUCUGCAGAAGAAGCACCGGCUAACUCCGUGCCAGCAGCCGCGGUAAUUC